CCGGCGCGGCGCCGACAGGCCUGGCUGUAUUCUACAGUGCAUGUGUCUCCAGUGUUUCUAAGCGACUGGAGAUACAGCCCUGUCGGAAUAACAGCCAGCGCCAAUGCCUUCAGCCCACG
rnacentral:pre_miRNA from 14 species